CCUACGGUGGGCAGCAGUGAGGAAUAUUGGUCAAUGGGCGUAAGCCUGAACCAGCCAAGUCGCGUGAGGGAUGAAGGUUCUAUGGAUCGUAAACCUCUUUUAUCAGGGAAUAAAGUGCGGGACGUGUCCCGUUUUGUAUGUACCUUAUGAAUAAGGAUCGGCUACCUCCAUGCCAGCAGCCGCGGUAAUACGGAGGAUCCGAGCGUUAUCCGGUUUUAUUGGGUUUAAAGGGUGCGUAGGCGGCCUUUUAAGUCAGCGGUGAAAGUCUGUGGCUCAACCAUAGAAUGGCCGUUGAAACUGGGAGGCUUGAGUAGGUUUGAGGCAGGCGGAAGGCGUGGUGUAGCGGUGAAAUGCUUAGAUAUCACGCAGAACCCCGAUUGCGAAGGCGGCCUGCUGGACAUUAACUGACGCUGAGGCGCGAAAGCGUGGGGAGCAAACAGGAUUAGAUACCCGUGUAGUC
rnacentral:rRNA from 1 species